rnacentral:rRNA from 1 species
GAUGAACGCUGGCGGCGUGCCUAAUACAUGCAAGUCGAGCGAACAGACGAGGAGCUUGCUCCUCUGACGUUAGCGGCGGACGGGUGUGUAACACGUGGAUAACGUACCUAUAAGACUGGUAUAACUUCGAGACACCGGAGCUAAUACCGGAGAAUCUAUUGAACCGCAUGGGUCAAUAGUGAAAUACGGUUUUUGUGUAACUUAUCGAUGGAUCCGCGCCGCAUGAGCUAGUUGGUGCGGUAACGGCUUACCAAGGCUACGAGGCGUAGACGACCGGAGAGACUGAUCGGCCGCCCGGGAACGGAGCCACGGUCAAUACUCCUACGGGAGGCAGCAGUAGGCAAUCUUCGGCAAUGGGCGAAAGCCUGGCGCAGCAACGCCGCGUGAGUGAUGACGGUGUCCGGAUCGUAAAACUCUGUUAUUAGUGAAGAACAAAUGUGUAAGUAACUAUGCACGUCUUGACGGUAACUAGUCAGAAAGCAACGGCUAACUACGUG